rnacentral:tRNA from 1 species
GGGGCCGUGGUCUAGUGGUGAUGACGCCGCCCUUACACGGCGGAGGUCGUGGGUUCGAUUCCCACCGGCCCCA